UGAGCAGGACAGACGAUCGCGGGUGCCUUUAGGGUGCCUGAGGAAAGUCCGAGCUCCACGAGGCAGGGUGCUGGGUAACGCCCAGUGGAAGCGAUUCCAAGGAAAGUGCCACAGAAAAAAUACCGCCUAAGCCGCUCGCGCGGCCGGUAAGGGUGAAAAGGUGAGGUAAGAGCUCACCAGUACCGCCGGUGACGGUGGUAGCUUGGUAAACCCCACUCGGCGCAAGACCGAAUAGGAGAGAAGAAGACGCCUCGCUUCGCUUGACUCUCGGGUUGGUCGCACGAAAUGUCGGGCAACCGGCAUUCCAGAUAAAUGGUCGUCACCCCUCACGGGGAACAGAACUCGGCUUACGGCCUGCUCAUCGC
rnacentral:RNase_P_RNA from 1 species